UUUACACUUUGAAGUAAUGCCUUGCGAGAAUCAAGGUAUAUGUUUUAUCGAUCUACUUAACCCACCAGCAGAGCUUGAGAAGAGGAAGCACAAGCUCAAGCAUCUUGUUCAAUCUCCCAACUCAUUCUUGCUUCCAACCGUGGUACCGUCAUGGAGCUUGGUAUCACUCCUAUUGUCACUUCUGGUCUCGUGAUGCAGCUCUUAGCUGGGUCUAAGAUCAUUGAGGUUGAAGAGGUGGGCAGAUACUUCUUCAUCUCAUGAAGAACAUCCUCCUAACAUAGACAAACGCUCGCUUCAGGAUCUGCUCUUCUUUCUCCAUGUUCCUCGAACUGGAGGCAGGACUUAUUUUCACUGUUUCUUGAGGACGUUGUAUGAUAACGCUGAGGAAUGUCCUCGUUCUUACGACAAGCUCCACUUCGAUCCAAGGAAGCAAAAGUGCAAGUUGUUGGCCACGCAUGAUGAUUAUAGUUUAAUGUCUAAGCUUUCACUGCAAAUCCACCCUUCAAGUCAGUUUCUUUAUUAUAUUUUCAUCACUCUCUGUCUAUGAAUAUGAAUGAAUGUUUGAUAUUAACUUGGAUUGUCUACAUUGAUGUUUUCAUAUGUUUGUUCUUUCUUCUUUUUCUCAUGUUCUUCCUUAACAUGUGUUUUUGUUAUUUUUUUUGUAAGAACCCAUAAAUAAGAAACUCCCAUUGGAACAU